rnacentral:lncRNA from 1 species
GUGAUGUGUGUUGAUGUUUGCUGUGGGGUGGAAAUUUUUGUUGUGUUGUUGAUGUGUUCUUGAAGUUUGUUGUGGUGUUCAUCUUGUUUUUCAUCUCACCUUACAACUUAAGACAACCAAAGUGUAACAUAUAUUCAAAAAGGUGAACAUAUUGGUUGGAACUGGGUUUAGUGGCAUAAUGGCAAGAAAAUUGUUAAGGGUGAUUUAUUGUAUAUAUAUAUAGCCGAAUCUUUUUGCAUGAGAUUGAGUUGGUAAUGAAGUGAUACGUCCUUGUGUGUUAGUUUAGUAGAAGGUAGAGAAGGAGUUAUUUGUUAAGGUGAAUUGUUGUUUGCUUGAAGUAUGAAAAGAGUUGUUGACAGUGUUUGUUGUUCAAGAAGACUAUAGGUUAUUGAUGAAGGUACUUGGUGGAUGAGUGUGGUUAAUUUAGGCAUCCCUGAGAUUGUAAGAGGGAGUUUAAUUGAAACUUAUAGAGUUAUGGACUAAGUUUAGUCGUAAGGGGUAGAUAGUAAUGGCGUGUAAAAGGAGGAUGUGUUAAUGGAUUGUGAAUAGGGUAGGCUAUAUGAUUAUGGUCGAUUGUUAUUGUUACGGAGUUCUAGUGUACUAGUGUUUUUUGAUGUUUUAUUUUCAUUUUUUUUCUUCUUUCCAAGUGAGAAUUGUGUGUAAGGUUGAAUUGUAAACCAUGUUUAGCACUAGACAUUAAGUUUGAAUAGUUGAUGGCCAUGAAGUUAGAUGUGAUGAUUUCUUGGUUAAUGAUACUAGUUAUAGGGAAGUGAUCUAGUAGGCUUAGACAGCAUACACAAGAGCUUAAGUUUAUUUAAGCCGUAGUGAAGUACGAUAUUGUCUGUAUGAUGUAGAAAUAUACCCAAAGUGAUAUAGAGUUGCAGUAUUUUCUAAGGCUAUUGCAUGUUGCGUGUGGCUAGUAGUAAUAUUAAGUUGCUAGAUGGAGAAAAACUAGUUAGAUGUUACAUGGUGUUCUAAAUGGACAAGUUAAGAAGUUAUGAUUAAUGAUGUUGAGCCUUUUUAUAUAAUCUUGAUUCUCAUGGUUUAGAAAUAUAAGUUUCCCGGCAUAAUGCUGGUAGACUAUCAGAGAAAAGGUAUGGUCCGUUAAAGGUUUGGAGAUAUCCAUGUUUAGUGUUAGGAAAAUCUAAGUUGGUGAAUGAUUAAGCUAUUAUAUGAUGACUUUUGGGGCUUUAGAAACCUAAGCGUUGAAUCUUAGAAGGAGGUAGUAGCAUUGGUCUCUAUACAUGAAAAUACCGUCUUACAGGGUAAGUUCAGUUUUAUGUGUAUUAUUAUAUCCCCGAUUCUAGAGUAAAGUGAUUUUAGUUUAUACCAUAGUGUAUAUAGUGGUUCACAGACUUAGAGUAAUGGCUUAAAUCUAAGGGGGAGAUGAUAGAACGAGUAACUAAGUCAAGUUUUCAGAUGCUAAUAGAUGUUCCAGUAAGUUGUGGAAUUGGCCGUAAGAAAGAACGAUGCUCAAUCUAUUCUUAUUUCAGCAGUUUACUUCUGUUAUUCCGAUACAUACUCAUGCUUUAUAUUUCAACUUCAUGAUCAUAGUCCGUGUUCAUACAUAUGAUAAGGAAUCAUGUACUCUCCUAGUUCCUAGUAUGAUGAGUUCCUAAUUUGUUCAGCAGUCAGAAUCACUUUCCGUAAGUUAUGAAUUCCAAAAAUUCAGGUCAUGCAGUUCAUGACUCUAGUGCACAUGUGAUACUCUUAACGAUCAGUGAAAAAUUCAGAUUAUAUCAGGCACUACGUUAGAUUAGAUCUCCUUAAUGAGUCCAUGCCAUGAGUGUUCUAUUCCUCAUGCCUCAGUAGGGUAUCAAGUUAUUCUUAGUACUCCCCUCAUGUUUCGGUAUUCCAAUUUUUCAGUUUCCUUUUCCUUUAGGUCAAGAUAGUGAUGAUGAAUAGUUGUCUAGAUGGAAAGAGUAAACAUUUCUUGUUGAUGAAAGAUGGUUGUGUGCUUAUUUGAGUUAAGGUAGUAAUUGUCGAGUAAGAUUGAGGCCAAGUC